rnacentral:rRNA from 1 species
GAGUGGGUUGUACCAGAAGUAGAUAGCUUAACCUUUUGGAGGGCGUUUACCACGGUAUGAUUCAUGACUGGGGUGAAGUCGUAACAAGGUAACCGUAGGGGAACCUGCGGUUGGAUCACCUCCUUACC